UGUGGUAUCUACCUAUUGGUGACC
rnacentral:siRNA from 1 species